rnacentral:tRNA from 1 species
GGUGUAGCUCAGUUGGUAGAGCAGUCGGCUGUUAACCGACUUGUCGCAGGUUCGAGUCCUGCCGC